rnacentral:rRNA from 1 species
UACAGAGGCCACGAGCGUUAGGCGGAAUCACUGGGCUUAAAGCGUGUGUAGGUGGAUGGGUAAGUACCUUGUGAAAUCCCACGGCUCAACCGUGGAACUGCUUGGUAUACUGCCUGUCUUGAGGCACUCAGGGGCGAGCGGAACAAAUGGUGGAGCGGUGAAAUGCGUAGAUAUCAUUUGGAACGCCAAUGGUGAAGACAGCUCGCUGGGGGUGUACUGACACUGAGACACGAAAGC